rnacentral:SRP_RNA from 1 species
UCCGCGCGCGCCUGUAGUCCCAGCUACUCGGGAGGCUGAGGCAGGAGGAUCGCUUGAGCCCAGGAGUUCUGGGCUGUAGCGCGCUAUGCCGAUCGGGUGUCCGCACUAAGUUCGGCAUCAAUAUGGUGACCUCCCGGGAGCGAGGGACCACCAGGUUGCCUAAGGAGGGGUGAACCGGCCCAGGUCGGAAACGGAGCAGGUCAAAACUCCCGUGCUGAUCAGUAGUGGGAUCGCGCCUGUGAAUAGCCACUGCACUCCAGCCUGGGCAACAGAGCGAGACCCCGUCUCUA